rnacentral:misc_RNA from 1 species
UCUCCGUAGGUGAACCUGCGGAAGGAUCAUUAUUGAAUAACCGCUGUGCCAGGGCUGUCCCUAACCCGCAAAGUCGAGCAAACCACAUUGCCCUCGCACACCUCCAUCCCACCCCUAUGUCCACCACCGCGCGGGACAGCCUUUCGCUUGUUCGGAGGUAGGCUCAUUUUUUCACACAAAACUUUUAUGCACUGUACACUGUAUUUUGUCUUUUUGCAAGAACGCAGUCGAUACAACUUUCAACAACCGAACCCUUAGCCCCCGCAUCGCUGAAGAACU